rnacentral:lncRNA from 1 species
GGCCUCCCACUCUGCCUGGCAAAGAACGGAUGUGCUCACAUCAGGAAUAUUUUAAUGAAGCAGGGUCUUUGUGAUCUGUAUCUGUGGUGCCAGUCCUGCUGACCUCCUUUCUCGUCCUGUGACUAGUGAUGUCUAAGCUCCUGGGAAUGCAGCCCUGUAGGUCUCAGCCUUAUUUUACCCAGCCCCUAUUCAAGAUGCAGUUGCUCUGGUUGGAACGUCUCUGACAGUAUGAGUUUGGGAAGAGUUGGAAAUGCUGAAGAAGUGACCUGGAGACAGCGAAGAUGUGUUCUCUACCUGGCCAGCGUCAUGUUGCCUGUUUGCUUACUGCACGCAUGGUGACAAAACAGAAGCCUCCAUGUUGGAUAUGCCUGGGUCCUAGGUGUCAGGCCUCUGAGCCCAAGCUAAGCCAUCAUAUCCCCUGUGACCUGCACGUAUACAUCCAGAUGGCCUGAAGCAACUGAAGAUCCACAAAAGAAGGGAAAAUAGCCUUAACUGAUGACAUUCCACCGUUGUGAUUUGUUUCUGCCCCACCCUAACUGAUCAGCGUACUUUGUAAUCUCCCCCACCCUUAAGAAGGUUCUUUAUAAUUCUCCCCACCCUUGAGAAUGUACUUUGUGAGAUCCACCCCCUGCCUGCAAAACAUUGCUCCUAACUCCACCACCUAUCCCCAAACCUCUAAGAACUAGUGAUAAUCCACCACCCUUUGCUGACUCUCUUUUCGGACUCAGUCUGCCUGCACCCAGGUGAAAUAAAC